GACGAACGCUGGCGGUGUGCUUAACACAUUCAAGUCGAACGGUAAGGCCCUUUCGGGGGUACACGAGUGGCGAACGGGUGAGUAACACGUGAGUAACCUGCCCUCAUCUCUGGGAUAACAGUCGGAAACGGUUGCUAAUACUGGAUAUGAGCCUGCAAGGCAUCUUGUGGGUUGGAAAGAUUUUUUGGUUGGGGAUGGACUCGCGGCCUAUCAGCUUGUUGGUGAGGUAGUGGCUCACCAAGGCUUCGACGGGUAGCCGGCCUGAGAGGGCGACCGGCCACAUUGGGACUGAGAUACGGCCCAAACUCCUACGGGAGGCAGCAGUGGGGAAUAUUGCACAAUGGACGGAAGUCUGAUGCAGCAACGCCGCGUGCGGGAUGACGGCCUUCGGGUUGUAAACCGCUUUCAAUUGUGACGAAGCUUUUUGUGACGGUAGCAGUAGAAGAAGCACCGGCUAACUACGUG
rnacentral:rRNA from 1 species